UUUCCGUAGGUGAACCUGCGGAAGGAUCAUUACCAAUAUAGCGAACCGAGCGUUAGCGAGGCUUCGCGAUCAAAUUUGUAUUUAAAACCCAACUCUUUAAAUGUAUAUUAUUAUUGUAUUUUAAAUAAUAAAAAGAUCACUUUCAACAACGGAUCUCUUGGCUCUC
rnacentral:misc_RNA from 1 species